rnacentral:rRNA from 1 species
GAUGAACGCUAGCUACAGGCUUAACACAUGCUAGUCGAGGGGUAACGAGAGGAAAGCUUGCUUUCCUUGUCGACGACCGGCGCACGGGUGAGUAACGCGUAUCCAACCUGCCCCCAACUAAGGAAUAACCUUGCGAAAGUAAGACUAAUACCUUAUAAUUUCCUCAGAUGUCAUCUGACGAGGAAUAAAGAUUUAUCGGUUGUGGAUGGGGAUGCGUCUGAUUAGCUUGUUGGCGGGGUAACGGCCCACCAAGGCAACGAUCAGUAGGGGUUCUGAGAGGAAGGUCCCCCACAUUGGAACUGAGACACGGUCCAAACUCCUACGGGAGGCAGCAGUGAGGAAUAUUGGUCAAUGGGCGGAAGCCUGAACCAGCCAAGUAGCGUGCAGGAUGACGGCCCUAUGGGUUGUAAACUGCUUUUAUACAGGAAUAAAGUUAGCCACGUGUGGUUAUUUGUAGGUACCGUAUGAAUAAGGACCGGCUAAUUCCGUGCCAGCCGCCGCGGUAA